rnacentral:rRNA from 1 species
UACAGAGGGUGCAAGCGUUGUUCGGAAUUAUUGGGCGUAAAGCGCGUGUAGGCGGCGUGGCAAGUCGGGUGUGAAAGCCCUCAGCUCAACUGAGGAAGUGCGCCCGAAACUGCUGUGCUUGAGUGCCGGAGAGGGUGGCGGAAUUCCCCAAGUAGAGGUGAAAUUCGUAGAUAUCGGGAGGAACACCAGUGGCGAAGGCGGCGACCUGGGCCAAUAUUGACGCUGAGGUGCGAAAGCGUGGGGAGCAAACAGG